ACACAUCACAGCGUUAGAGUCUGAGGGCUGCUGCACUGACAGCGCCCCCUGCAGGCUGCCUUCAGGUGAGGGGGGGUGAGAGUGUGAACUGACAGAUGGCCUCUUCCUCUAACUCCCAGCAUCCCCUGCUGCUCUCUGAACACUCGCUGCCUGUUCUCAGAUCAGCUGCAGCUCACACUGAGGAUCAGAGGUUAACGCAGCAGCAGACUCAGUGUUUCUCUUCUAAUCACUCGUCUGAGAGUCGACACCUGCUGAUGGAGACGAUGCUUCACGCCUCCGUCUCCUUCACACUGAGGACCAUCAUUAACGUCAGUCACUAACACGCUUUUAUUUAUUUAGAUUUAUAAAACACGUCCACCUCCCGGGGUCACGACCCACAUGUUGAGAAACUGAUGUUGAUGUGUUCAGGGUCUGUGGGAUGUUUCUGUGCUGCAGAUUAACGACACACGCACUCACACACAAACAGGCGUAUGUUUCUCUGUGUGUUAAAUGUAGGUCAGUUGUGGUCAGAGUGUGUGUGUGUGUGUGUGUGUGUGUGUGUGUGUGUGUGUGUGUGUGUGUGUGUGUGUGUAUUAAUCCUCUGGUUUUAAUCUGUUCAGCAGCAGGAUGGAAGCUGCUGUUACAUAAGAGACCUGCAGCUGCUGCACGCUGCCGCCAUGAGCAACAACGCUGCUGCCAGCAACACCUGCAACUACUCACAGCAACUACACCAACCACAGCAACACCUGCAACUACUCACAGCAACUACACCAACCACAGCAACUACACCAACCACAGCGUCAAACAGCAGCUGCAGUUAAAAGUUUGAAGAUGAAUUUCACUUGAACUGUCAUAAUGACAUGUUGUGAUCACUGACGUCUUUGAUCAGUUACAGGUGUAUGAGCAGGUCAGUGAACGCCUCGUCACAUGUUGACAUUUAAACAUGAUUUUGUUCCUUUUUGAUUAAAUCUGCAGAGAAACAGGACGAUCGUGAUUCAUCAGCUGAAACAACAGACGUCUGACAGAGAGAGCAGACCCUGAAUGCAGCAGUCUUACCGCCACAGCCUCCAGGAUCUGUUUAAUGACGUGAGCGGCGUCUCUCUCGCUGUAGUAACCUCGCUCCACGAUCCUGGAGAUAAAACACAAAACAUCACAUGACACAAACAACAUGGCACCUGCUGGUCUGGAGGCUGGAGCAGCAGCACAGAAAAUCAAACCGUCAGUGACCGGAGCAGCUUCUCUCUGGGCCUCAGGCAGAACCAAACCAAACCUGAACGCAGCAGGAGUCUGGAGACUGACCUGAGACCAGGUACCUGCUCAGUCAGAUUCACACCUGGAUCAAAUUGUAUCACAUCAAAUACAACUUCCUGCUUCUGCGUCGUCCAGAGCAGCUGCUGUCAGCUGGACGUUUUUAUACCUAUGAACAUGGACUAAAGGUUUUCUCCCAGCUGCGUCAUAUCAUAUU